rnacentral:tRNA from 1 species
GGGGUUGUAGCUCAGUGGUAUAGCACUUACCUUGCAUGUAUGAGGGACAGGGUUCGAUCCUCAGCACCA